CUCCUCCCCGGGAACGCCAGGGCGUGUGCGCGGCAUGUGGGCGCCUUGGCCGGGGGCUUCCUCUCCUGCGCUCCGCUCGGCUUCUGGUGGUGCCUUCAUCCAGGGUCCAGGAUGACGAUCCGACACCAAGGCCAACAGUACAGGCCCAGGAUGGCAUUUCUGCAGAAGGUUUGCAAGCUGCCCGCUGGUCUUGAAGAGUCAGCCGUGCUUGGGCGGAAAGUCGGAGGGUGAAGAGCUUCCCAUGAGCUCAGGCCGGACUGUUCCGAGGCUGUUCUACGCCCUUUCCCCCAGCGGUUCCCACCAACUCCGGUGAUCCACAGGCUGACCUGCACGUGAAUGCCCAAUGUGUUGCCCUUCUUCCUUCCCCUGGCUCCCUAACCCAGCUACCUAUUGCUGCUUCCCGAGAUCAGCCCUCUUACCAACACUAUGAGGUCCCAUUAUUUCCCCCAAUUUUACACGUAAGGGAACGGGUUGUUGAGGACCAGGACUGGAAGAACUGCUGCAAUUUGGUGAAACUGGUCUCAGUAGGACAGCAAAAACAUGAAGUGUGCUGCCUGCAGUGGGCCGGAGUCUCCAAUCCUGUGUGAGGCACCCCAAGUCGAGAGAGCCUUGAGGCUGAGACUGAAGGGAUUUCUGCCCAAGAAGUGCAGAAGGGAAGCCGCAGGGGGUGGGGGUGGCGUGUGUCAGAGCAGAGGCCAGAGCGAGUCUGGUGUUGGAGGCAGGUUGUUUGAUAUUGCUGGAUUUAUUAUACCAGGAGAGUGUGAGGCUGGACAGGGAGGCCACAACGGAUCAUACCCAUCUCCUGUGCCUUUCAGAGGUGGCCUGAUUUCCCCCAGAAGAAGCCACUGAGGAGUUUGGAGCAGAUCAGGAAAGCAGGUGCUGGAAGGCAGGACCAAUGGUGGCGGCGGCCUGGAUCUCAGAGUCAGGACCUUGACAGAAUGCCCUGGACCAUGGCCCACUGGAAUUUGCAUUUGGACUGAAGAGUCAGUAAAAGACGCAGAGCCAGAGAUGGGGAGCAACGUGUAAAGCCACGGGGUGCUGUGAUUACAGACUCAAGGGCCCUUGUAACAUGACAAGUGGUAUAGUCGAUGGCAUAGGCAAGGGCCAUCAGAGACUCCAGCUCCCUACAAAUUAAUCCAAAUUGGAGGGACAAAACUCAGGGGGAGGGAGGAAGGCAAGAUGAAUUCAGUGUCACUUUUUUUAAAUCACUUUCCCCAAAGUCAUCAUUUUAUGUGUAUAUCCAGAGACAUGCCUAUCUUGGAGAUAUUUUGAGAUUGGUUCCAGACUACUGUAAUAAGGCAAACAUGGCAAUAAAGCGAGUCAAGUGAAUUUUUUGGUUCCCCGGUGUCUGUAAAAGUUAUGUUUACCCUAUACUGUGGCCUUGUAAAUGUGCAAGAGCAUUAUGCUUGCACACAAUGUAUGUAUCUUAAUUAAAAAUACUUUAUUUUAAAAAGACUUUAUGGC